UACUCCUACGGGAGGCAGCAGUAGGGAAUUUUCCACAAUGGACGAAAGUCUGAUGGAGCAACGCCGCGUGCAGGAUGAAUGCCUUCGGGUUGUAAACUGCUUUUAUUAGUGACGAUUAUGACGGUAACUAAUGAAUAAGGACCUGCUAACUACGUGCCAGCAGCCGCGGUAAUA
rnacentral:rRNA from 1 species